rnacentral:rRNA from 1 species
AUGGCAGCAGCGGCGGCGCAGAGGCUUCUUGCGUCGAGCACGAAGAUCGUCGGGGCCGGGCGCAACUACAUCUCCCAUGCCAAGGAUCUCGGCAACCCUGUCCUCAAGGAACCCGUCCUGUUCCUGAAGCCCACGUCGUCAUUCCUCCACGCCGGCCCGACCGCCGGCCCCAUCGAGGUGCCCGAGCCGCUCGAGUCGCUGCACCACGAGGUCGAACUCGCCGUCGUCAUCUCCCGGCGCGCGCGCGAUGUCCCCGAGGCCUCCGCCAUGGAUUUCGUCGGAGGUUAUGCACUUGCUUUGGACAUGUCAUCAAACGAUCUGCAAUCAGCUUCUAAGUCUGCAGGUCUUCCUUGGACUUUGGGUAAAGUACAGGACACCUUUACUCCAAUUAGUGCGGUGGUUCCGAAAUCUGCAAUCGCUAAUCCCUAUGACCUAGAACUGUGGCUAAAGGUAGAUGGUGAACUUAGGCAGAAGGGACUUACAAGUGAUAUGAUAUUCAAGAUUCCUUUUCUAAUCAGUUAUAUCAGUUCCAUCAUGACAUUAAUGGAGGGCGAUGUGAUAUUAACUGGUACUCCUCCCGAUGGCGUUGGUCCUGUCCGAGUGGGACAGAAGAUUAAUGCUGGUAUAACUGACCUCAUUGAUGUAGAGUUUGAUGUUGAGAGACGCAAACGUUCAUUUUCUUACUGA